rnacentral:rRNA from 1 species
GACAGAAGGUGCAAACGUUGUUCGGAAUUACUGGGCGUAAAGCGAGUGUAGGCGGUUUCCUAAGUCAGGUGUGAAAGCCCCGGGCUCAACCCGGGAAGUGCACUUGAAACUGGGAGGCUAGAGUAUCGGAGAGGUUGGUGGAAUUCUCGGUGUAGAGGUGAAAUUCGUAGAUAUUCGGAGGAACACCAGAAGCGAAGGCGGCCAACUGGCCCGAUACUGACGCUGAGGCGCGAAAGCGUGGGGAGCAAACAGG